GUGUACUGGUGGUUGGGCACAGCCUGGUACCAGUUAACAACGGCCAUCUCCUUGAUCGAUGUCUUUACUCUGUCCAGAUGUUGUUGCAGAAGGUGAAGGAAAUGGAAUCAGCUGUGGAAAGGUUGACAGAUGAACAGAAGCAGCUACUGACUGCACUGGCACUGCUGGAGGAGCAGCUCAGCC